UAUGAAUUUCAGGGACAACGGCAACAUGCGCUUGGGACAGAAGAAAAAAAAACUACCGUAAGUCAUCCUGAAUUGGACCCUGUGGGCAUAGAUCCUCUAGUGCAAAAUGAGUCAUAGCAAGAAGGGACAAAAGCUUUCGAGUAACUUCUUUUGCCUCCAGAUGAGCUCUUUCAAUCUCAAGAGAGAAUGUUUCUUUACUUUUUUAUUCUAGACAAAAUUAGAAAAUUGAACAGUUUUGCAGGGCUUUUUUCAUUCUCCCUGUGUGAAGCAAGGUCCUUUCUGAAAAGCAUUUGAUAACAAUCAGUGGCUUACAUCAUCAGGAAAUGCCUCCUCUGUAUCUUACACUGGAGAUGGUUUAGAAGAUGCAAUUGCUGAUAGUACAUUAGACUCUAUCAGCAGCAGCAGGCAGAUUUUAGCAAAGUGAAAAAACACAUAGAGAUUACAGAGUCCAGAAUAUUGUUCUCUUCAUUCUGACUGCUCAGUUCCCAAUAAGGGCGACUGCUUCAGUCCUGGUUCAGCCGAAGGAGGGAGCGCCUGCGGCCGGGAUCCCCCCAGCCCGACAGGGCUGUUACCACGCCGGACCACACGAGGCCUCCCUUUUCCAAAAUACGGUGCGUGGAACCUUCUUCCAGAGAUGAAGAAACAGGGACGAUUCCUUUCUCUUCAGGAUGAGCACGUAUCCAUCCACCUGUGUUUGCCCCUCUACCUUCUCAUACCCUCAGAAAAGCAAGCAAAAGGGCCAGAUUGUGAAAAAGCUCACCACGUCCUGGAAAACCUUGUUCCACAUGCAUUUACACAAGGCUUUACACAACUUAAAUAAAAGUCUCCUUAAAGGCA